rnacentral:rRNA from 1 species
AACGAACGCUGGCGGCAGGCCUAACACAUGCAAGUCGAACGCGUCCUUCGGGACGAGUGGCAGACGGGUGAGUAACGCGUGGGAACGUACCCUUUGGUUCGGAACAACAGCGGGAAACUGCUGCUAAUACCGGAUAAGCCCUUCGGGGAAGAUUAUCGCCAGAGGAUCGGCCCGCGUUAGAUUAGCUUGUUGGUGAGGUAAUGGCUCACCAAGGCGACGAUCGGUAGCUGGUCUGAGAGGAUGAUCAGCCACACUGGGACUGAGACACGGCCCAGACUCCUACGGGAGGCAGCAGUGGGAAUAUUGGACAAUGGGCGAAAGCCUGAUCCAGCCAUGCCGCGUGAGUGAUGAAGGCCUUAGGGUUGUAAAGCUCUUUCACCCACGACGAUGAUGACGGUAGUGGGAGAAGAAGCCCCGGGCUAACUUCGUGCCAGCAGCCGCGGUAAU